UACAGUUUCUGUCUGUUGGUCAGGUAGGGCCCUUUUUAUUCAUCUGUCAAAGGGCUGUAAAUCUUUACACUGAGUGUUAACUCUCCAUCCCGCUUUCCCCUCCAGCUGCCUUUCUUACACCCCAAGUCUUUUUACAUUUUAAAGCUAAAUACUAUCUUUUGAAAAUGGACCGCCAGAUUUUUUUUUUUAUUUCUCAGAGCCUGAUGUUUCGUCCCAUGUUCCGAGGUGUCAUGACGCUGAGUGAAGCAUUCUGAUGACCCUCAGAAAGUCUGGACAUUCUGCACUGACCAUAAGAUUGUUUUACAGGAUCAGAAACUGGAUAGUCCACAAUGGCGGUCUUCAGAAUGGAAAGCUAGAGGCAUCCAUCGCUGCCCAGUCCAAGAAGUUGGAGCCUCAGAGGAAGAAACACCAAUGGUGUAAUCCCAUCAGGGCCUGGGGGCCUGAGAACUCCCUGUGGAGAGUCACUGGUCAGAAUCCCCUUUAGAAGAGUGAAAGAACUAGAAUGUGAUGUCCUCGGGUGAUUGGAACACGAGUUCAAAGACCUACCCUAGAGAAAGAAAGA